rnacentral:lncRNA from 1 species
UUGCACUGUAAACUGGAACUAUCGCACUAUAAGCUUUUUUGGUGUUAAUCACUGGUGGUUAUGGCAGCUAAUGUUACCCUAACUGAUUCCCAGAGCCAAAAGAAACAAUGAAUACAUCACCAAUGGUAACGAGGAAUAAACAGAACUGAAAGAAGCAAUUAUUGGCUAUAUUUAUGCAAAUAAACAUUUGGCUGGAUCACAGGAACCUGUGAGGGUGAUAUAAUUCCAGGUUGAGUUCAGCUGAGGGCAAAGGCACCAGCUCAGAUUAAUCCUUGCUCAGUACAAACUAAAAGCAAACUGAAUACUAAGCAUUUUAUCGCCCUUUCAAAAUACUUAGCAUGUGCUGUUCUCUCUGUGGACAUGUCUCUGGCUACCUGAAGGCAUCCAGCAUGUGAAAAAACAACUCAGACCACACAUUUUCCACCUAUGUUCUUCGGGAUGUGCUGGAGAUGAUAUGUGAAGAGAAAGAGACUCAGCUUAAGACCCGACAAUUCCGCUGAGCAAUUCUGGGAAGAGAAUGAAAAACAUUUUGUUGAUGAGAAUCUGUAUUCAUCAGUUUUUGUACAAGACUAAGAACUCGGCAUGCUUUUACAUUGGAAAUUUGGUAAUUAAUAUCAGCAUCCUGAUUUUCCAUUGGGGAGUAAGUCAACCUUCCUUGGAUAGUAGCAUAGGGACCUUUAUUGUACAUAAGUAACCUGGACUUGGACAGAGUCAAUGAAUUUAUCCACGAAUGGGUAUCUGCCUUCAGUCCAGUGAAAAUCAACCAGGUACUUCUGUACAGCCCGAGGGGGAAUAUGUCCUUUUCUCUGCCUGAAGUUGCCCAUGGUCAUGUUUGUGAUUAUACGGGGUAAACUGAGAAUAAAAUAAUCACAUACAAAAGAAGAAUCAAAAAAAUGAGAUAUGAUCUUGAUAACCUAAUUUAAACUCUAAGUAAUUCUCAUAACAGGAUUUAGUGAACAUUCUAACCCUUUUCCAACAACCCAUCCUGCUACAUGCCUUUAUCAUAAAAUAGCUUCAUAUAUAAAAGCGUCAUGUUAAAGUUAGUUUUACUUUUCCACUUAUAUAGAUUUAAAUAUAUUUUAUUGAAUUAUUAAAACUUUACAAAGUUGGGGCUAAUCCUAGCUCUUGUUUAUACAAUUUUAAAAAUGAUAUUUGUUU